AGGCAAUUACCAGGCAUUUCACUACUCUCUCCUGUGCUACAGUCUCCAUUUCCUCUUCCAGAAGUCCCUUCCACUAAGAGCAGAAUGCCUCUGGUUUUGCUUGAUGAAGAUUAUUCAGGGAGGCCUCCUGAGACUCUGCUGUACAGAUCCAGCUGUAUGUUUAAACAAGUUUACAUGUACAGAGUUACAAGGUGCCAGGAGAUAGAUUUGCUAAAUAUCAAAAAGUCUGGAUGGAUUUCCUGCACUGUAGCUGAAAGCUGACUCACUUGAAGGCUGGGGGGAAAAAAAGAUGAAUGAGCCCCUUCGAUACUCUGUAAAUGUUACCCUGGCUCUGAUCCAAGUGUUGUGAUGUAGAAGAACUAAGUUGCUUAAUUUCUGCA